rnacentral:rRNA from 1 species
UCGGGAAUUUUGGGCAAUGGGCGAAAGCCUGACCCAGCAACGCCGCGUGAAGGAUGAAAUUUUUCGGAAUGUAAACUUCGCAAGAACGGGAAGAAUAAGUAGAUGUGAAUACCUUCUAUGAUGACGGUACCGUUUGUAAGCUCCGGCUAACUCCGUGCCAGCAGCCGCGGUAAUACGGGGGGAGCAAGCGUUGUUCGGAUUUACUGGGCGUAAAGGGCGCGUAGGCGGUCGUGACAAGUCACUUGUGAAAUCUCCGGGCUUAACCCGGAAAGGUCAAGUGAUACUGUCGGACUAGAGUACAGAAGGGGCAACUGGAAUUCUCGGUGUAGCGGUGAAAUGCGUAGAUAUCGAGAGGAACACCUGCGGCGAAGGCGGGUUGCUGGGCUGAUACUGACGCUGAGGCGCGAAAGCUAGGGGACCAAACGG